rnacentral:misc_RNA from 1 species
GCCGUGCUGGACACCGAGGAUGCCGUCGGAGGCGAAAGCUGGUGUCUUUUGCCAUGAAAUUCAUCCGUUUCCUCCUCUUGAGUGACC